rnacentral:rRNA from 1 species
GAUGAACGCUGGCGGCGUGCCUAAUACAUGCAAGUCGAGCGAACGGACGAGAAGCUUGCUUCUCUGAUGUUAGCGGCGGACGGGUGAGUAACACGUGGAUAACCUACCUAUAAGACCGGGAUAACUUCGGGAAACCGGAGCUAAUACCGGAUAAUAUUUUGAACCGCAUGGUUCAAAAGUGAAAGACGGUCUUGCUGUCACUUAUAGAUGGAUCCGCGCUGCAUUAGCUAGUUGGUAAGGUAACGGCUUACCAAGGCAACGAUGCAUAGCCGACCUGAGAGGGUGAUCGGCCACACUGGAACUGAGACACGGUCCAGACUCCUACGGGAGGCAGCAGUAGGGAAUCUUCCGCAAUAGGCGAAAGCCUGACGGAGCAACGCCGCGUGAGUGAUGAAGGUCUUCGGAUCGUAAAACUCUGUUAUUAGGGAAGAACAUAUGUGUAAGUAACUGUGCACAUCGUGACGGUACCUAAUCAGAAAGCCACGGCUAACUACGUG